rnacentral:misc_RNA from 1 species
GGAGGACAGCACCGAUAUGUCGAGCUGCGCCCUGUGCUGUGAAGCUCUUGUUUCAGUGCCCUCCCUGCCGUGCCGCCGCAACCGCGCCGCGACGACGGCUGACACGCUACCGCGGAGGACGGUGCCGCCUGAUGCCGACGCGGGCGUCGAGGCCUACCGGCACCGCGUAGCCCGCAGAGCUGACAUCGGCGGCGGCGGCGUCUUGCCGAGAUGCGGAGGCGUGUGCGACGACAGGCGAUGCUGACGCGCUUCUCCUGCCCGCACCGCGUCUGGACCGGCCAGCGGUGGGCUGGGCGCCCCUGCCGUGGCGGCGCGCGAUGGGCGCCGGCGUCGUGCGACUGCCACACCCUCGCCACGGCCGGGCGCUCCCGUGCUUCGUGGUGCGCGAUCCGGUUGCCUGCGCCGUGGCGAGGCCGCGCACGCCGACGCUGCCUUGCCCGGCGUAUGCCUCGUCCCCGCUGCUGUGGGAGGUGCGGGCGCACGCGCCGCCAAGCGGCUUUGCGCGGAGCUGGCUUGUGAAGGGGCGCGCUGUCCCGAGCACCGUCGGCGCUGGCGAGCUGCUGGCCGCGAGGUCGCUGGACCUGACCUUCUCUGCGCUCCAUGAGCUGCUCGGCGAUGCACAGCGCUGCGACCGCGUGGCGCGCACCUUCAUGCCAGCGGCAGGCCUGCACCGGGCCGGGGGCAUGGCCUUCUCAGCUCGCGCCACCGCCACCGCUGCUGGCUGCGAGGCCGCGGCGCCGGUGGCGAGGACUGGCGGUCGCCGAGGUCCGCGUGUGCGCGGCUGACGGCGAGCUUUCCGCCUGGAGUGGAGCGGAUGGCACGCAUGUGGGGUGCGGGGGCCCGCACGGCUGGACGGCUGACCCGCGGUCGCGGCCGGCGGCGUCGUCCAUGUGCUCUGCCACGCCUCACGGGUGGGCUGGCUGGGCACGUGCAGCAGCAGCGCGCCCGCUCCUCCUGCGCGGCUGCGUGGGCGUGCCUGAGUCCGACGGCGUGCUGCGGCGGCUGUGCGAGGCCCGUGAAGUCGGCGGCAGGGUCUCUGCGCAGACGGCGUCCUGUGAUGCGCCCGCCGACAGCCGCCACGCUGUGCACCACAGGCCAUCCGAGUCGGUGGCGGUGGGGUGGCUGACGAGACAAGUAGAGCGCGUGCGCGCCUCUGCGGUGCUGCUGCGACGGCGACGGCGGCUGCGCCCGCCGAGGCGUGCGUGGGGGCCGCCAUGGCUGUUGCGCUUGGGGUGGUGGCCGAGUACGUGCCGGUCCGGCUGCACGCGGCUCUUGCGGUGGCCUGCGGUCUCGCCGACCCCGCGGCGGCGUGACGCGACUGGAGAAGGCUGGGCAUCGGAAGGGCACGCCCCCCUUGCUGGCCGUGCUCGGCGAGAGGAAGCCGAGGACGGAGGGUGGCGCGCCGUGGGGACAGGUGCAACUGUCCGUCCCGCCCCCGAUGCGGGUGGAGCGCGCUGGAGCCCGUCUGUAUGCGCAUGCGCGCUGCUGCUGUGGCCAGCCUCCCUUCUGCGCCGCCGCGUCGCAGGCCGCACCGCUGCGUUGAGACACGGCGCGCGCCGGUGGGUGGGGUGAGGCCGGGAAUGACUUCUGCUUGGCUUGCUUGCAUGCGAGCAUGCUGGUGGGCUGUUGGCUGGGCGGACUCGGCACGGUGCACCCCAUCCCUCCUCCCUGCGGUCGCCUCGUGUGCGGCGAGGGUGUGCUCUCGCCUUGGCGGUGGCGGCGUGCGUGCGAGCGUUCUCUCCUGCUGGCGCACGUCGGCCGUGCAUCCGCGUGCCGGCGCUGUCUCUGUGGUGUAUGGGAGCGGCCCCUCCUCCCUCCCCCCUCAUCCCUGCGCAUGCGGGGCGGCUCGUGGUGGUGGCAGGGGUAGGCCCCUGCGGCGUAGGGGGAGGCGAGGGCGAUGCGUCGCGGCCGGUGUCGGCGGUGAGGUUGUGGAUGGCGUGGCGCCGGAGCGACGUGCGGCAGUGGACGCGCUUGUGCUGUCCGCAUGGCGGGCGAGGGGUCAACGGGGCUCGGGCGUCUCCCACCCUGCCGUUGCUGCCUGCUGGUGGGGAGCCGGAGCCACGCGAAGGUGGACGCACGGGGUGGCUGCCGGCACGGUGCGCGCUGCUGUGGGGCGACCUGCGUGGGGGAUGGGUGGGCAGAGGCUGUGCGAGGGACCGUGCUCAUGCUGCUGGGCCGCGCGCGGGGGCGGCGCGGGGUGUAGCGUGGCGCCGGCCUGCUGCUGUAGGGCGGAGGCAUGGACGCGUCGAAGGGGAGCUGCUUGCGCUGUGGCAGACAUCGCCACCCCGGGUGCCGCCUGGCACUCGCCGCUGUCCCCACCUGCCACGUGCGGCCACCCACGCAUGCGGGCGGCGAGCGACAUCGGCACUCAUGAGGGUUUUGUGUCCUGUGCUUCCACACCCCCAGCGCGCUUGGACAGCGCGCCCAUGCAGCGGUGGGGGCCUCAUGGGCAGAGGGGGUGCCCGCGCCACUGCCUGCUCUCUUGUCCCCGCGUGCCCUCCCUCGGUGAUGGGGGCGAGCAAGCGAGUGCCCCUCGCCGGCCUCUCCCGCCCCACCGAGCAGCGAGAGACACACGUGAGCCACAACGGCGGCCUCGGCUGUGCUGCCUGUGCGUGGCGAGCGGGCGCGUGCAGCCGCAUCCUUCCCCCGCGUGUGCGCACACACCCGUCGGUGGGCGGUGCCGGCGUCUUGCGCGGCGUUGCUCGGCGGCCGCUUUUCCUUUGCUCUCGUCG